UUGUACUUACUUUGGCCACACACAUACUAAAACUGGAGUGAUACAGAGUAUUAGUAUGCCCCCUUGCACGAGAAUGACAUGAAAAUUUGUGAUGUGUUUUACAUUUCU
rnacentral:snRNA from 1 species